rnacentral:rRNA from 1 species
AUUGAACGCUGGCGGCAGGCCUAACACAUGCAAGUCGAACGAGUGGCGGACGGGUGAGUAAUGUCUGGGAACCUGCCUGAUGGAGGGGGAUAACUCCUGGAAACGGUAGCUAAUCCCGCAUACCAUCGGAUGUGCCCAGAUGGGAUUAGCUAGUAGGUGGGGUAAUGGAUCACCAAGGCGACGAUCCCUAGCUGGUCUGAGAGGGUGACCGGCCACACUGGAACUGAUACACGGUCCAGACUCCUACGGGAGGCAGCAGUGGGGAAGUUUGCACAAUGGGCGCAAGCCUGAUGCAGCCAUGCCGCGUGUAUGAAGAAGGCCUUCGGGUGGUAAAGUACUUUCAGCAGGGAGGCGUUACCCACAGAAGAAGCACCGGCUAACUCCGUGCCAGCAGCCGCGGUAAUUC